rnacentral:rRNA from 1 species
UACGUAGGGGGCGAGCGUUGUCCGAAGUUACUGGGCGUAAAGCGCGCGUAGGCGGACUCUUAAGUGAGGGGUGAAAGGUUCAGGGCUCAACCCGAACACUGCCUUUCAUACUGGGAGUCUUGAGUGCGGGAGAGGCGAGUGGAAUGGUCGGUGUAGCGGUGAAAUGCGUAGAUAUCGAUCGGAACACCCAUGGCGAAGGCAGCUCGCUGGCCUGUAACUGACGCUGAGGUGCGAAAGCGUGGGGAGCAAACAGG